rfam:Homo sapiens chromosome X, GRCh38 reference primary assembly.
GCCGGGCGUGGUGGUGGACACCUGUAAUCCCAGCUACUUGGGAGGCUGAGGCAGGAGAAUCGCUUGAACCCAGGGGGUGGAGGUUGCAGUGAGCUGAGAUUGCACCACUGCACUCCAACCUGGGUGACAGAGUGAGACUCUGUCUCAA